rnacentral:rRNA from 1 species
UACGUAGGGUGCGAGCGUUGUCCGGAAUUACUGGGCGUAAAGAGCUCGUAGGUGGUUUGUCGCGUUGUCCGUGAAAACUCACAACUCAAUUGUGGGCGUGCGGGCGAUACGGGCAGACUGGAGUACUGCAGGGGGAGACUGGAAUUCCUGGUGUAGCGGUGGAAUGCGCAGAUAUCAGGAGGAACACCGGUGGCGAAGGCGGGUCUCUGGGCAGUAACUGACGCUGAGGAGCGAAAGCGUGGGGAGCGAACGGG